rnacentral:rRNA from 1 species
AGAAUCAACGCUGGCGGCGUGCCCCAGACAUGCAAGUCGAACGAGAAAGUCCCCUUCGGGGGAUAAGUAAAGUGGCGCACGGGUGAGUAACACGUAGGUAAUCUACCUUCGGGUGGGGAAUAACCCAGGGAAACUUGGGCUAACACCGCAUAAUGCAGCGGCACCACAUGGUGACAGUUGUUAAAGCGGGGGAUUUUCGGACCUCGCGCCUGAAGAGGAGCCUGCGGCGGAUUAGCUAGUUGGUAAGGUAACGGCUUACCAAGGCAACGAUCCGUA